rnacentral:rRNA from 1 species
UACGAAGGGGGCUAGCGUUGUUCGGAAUUACUGGGCGUAAAGCGCGCGCAGGUGGUCUUUCAAGUCAGUGGUGAAAGCCCGGAGCUCAACUCCGGAAAUGCCAUUGAAACUGUGAGACUUGAGGACGAGAGAGGUGAGUGGAAUUCCCAGUGUAGAGGUGAAAUUCGUAGAUAUUGGGAAGAACACCGGUGGCGAAGGCGGCUAUCUGGACCGACAUUGACGCUGAGGCGCGAAAGCGUGGGGAGCAAACAGG